CCUCUACUACGACGGCUAGGGUUUCUGGAUUGGGAAUUAGGGUUUCUAUUGGAGAUGGUGAUGACGUGGCAAGGGUGGUGAUGUGGCAGCAAGUCAAUCGUUGAAUCUGUGUACGGUGGAUUGACGACACGUGGCAACAUCUGAGGCAAUCUGACUUAGGAAUGGUAGGAGGGAUUUGUAUAGGGAAUUUAGGAUGUGUAGGUGAAAAGGGUCUAGUGUUUGGGCUUGGUUUUUCUGGGCCUGUUUCAGAAGAGAGGGGUGCAUGUAGGGAAAUUUGGGGGUGCAAGGGUAAAAUCUGAUUUUGGGCCUUAAAUUACAAUUUGGACCAAUAAAACUCUAAUUUCAGUUACACAAAUAAAUAUUAGAACAUCCAAGAAUAAUUCAUGAAAUUAAAAUCACCUUUUAACGCCUCUUUAAUUCCAAAACCCAACAAUUCAACUUCACACAGAUUCACUUUAAAUCAUCCAUUUAAGCACAAAUAUCUCAUCAAAAUUGUGAAUUUUAAAGCAUAAAUGUGGGCAUAAAUAUGCACUCAUCAGAAGCGAAAGAGAAAGGACAUCACAACCCAACAGUGACGGAGGAGCGAAAGAGGACGAAGAAGAGUACAGGUGGAGAGGAAAGAGAACGAGUAUGAGCAUUCCAUCAGACAGAGGAGAGAAGAGAUGGAUAUACAGGUGGAAUAAAGAAAAAGGAAGAGGACUUAAAAGAACACGAUGGGAGAACAAAAGAAGGACUAGAACGGUGUGGCGGGGUAAGAAGAGGUGGUGGUAAAGUGGAAGAACUACGUGCGAAAUGCAAGUAAGUUUUGAGAGUAGGAGUAGGGGAGGAGGUUGGAUUAUCAUGUAAAUCUUAUUCCGGUGAUCAGAUGAAAUGAUAGUGAUGGUCAAGAGGUUUAGAAGAUGGCUUCAUGGUCUUGUAGUACUGAAGGUCUAGAAACUUAGAGAGUGGAGAGUACAUGACGGUGAGAAUUAAGGUUUGAGAAGAAUGAGUUGAGAAGAUGAGAGAAGAAGCACAUAUAAAUAGAAGAAAAAGUUAGUCAUGAGUGGUUGAUCAGUCUCGUCCAUUUAAUGAGGUUAGUAUGGAAAGACUCGAAAGAGAUUUACAUCUCUUUGAAUAUUGAGAAAAUUUUUAAGAAGUGUGUUAGUCAUCAAUGGAUAAGAGUGGGAAGCGACAAAAUCAAAGGUUUAGGGUUUCGAGGAAGAGAGAGGUUGGGCUUUGAUAGAGAGGAAGAUGGCUUGAUUGACACAUAGAAGAUUUGGCAGAUAGGAGAGAGGGUUUGGGCUUAGGAAAUCUUAGAUAACUUGUAGAGAUGGGCUCAGUACUUAAACACACCUAAUGCAUGAAUGUAGUUGUCUUAUAGACUAUUUGUCUUAGAUGAUUCAACAGGAUGACAUCUUAUGGACUAUGUGUUCUAAACGAUUGACUCUCUAGACUCUUAUAUGAACACACUGAACAUAUUUGAAUUAAAAAUUCAUUCAACGUUUCUCAUACCAAUAAGGGUUAUUAAACAAUUAAGUCUACCUUUAACUACUGGCUUAGUGAAGAUGUUAGCAAGCGGACCUUCUUUGUUUGCAUAUUGUAAGUCCACAGUACUCUUGUUAAUAUGAUCACAUAUGAAGUGAUGCUUGACCUUAAUAUGCUUAACGCGUGAAUGUAAUGUCGGAUUUCUAGAUAAGCUAAUUGCAACAUUAUUAUCGCAGAAGAUAGGAAUCGUACCUUGAGUGUGAUUGUAAUCUUGUAGUUGAUAUUUGAUCCUUAAUAGUUGAGAGCAUCAGUGUGCAGAUGAUAUAUAUUCAGCUUCAACAAUUGAUAGCGCAAUUGUGUUUUGCUUCUUGCUCAGCCACAAUACUAGGUUUCUUCCAAUGAAGUGGUAGCCUCCACUUGUACUUUUUGCUCGACUUUGUCUCCAGCAAAAUCAACAUUACAAUAUCCCUCAAGAUCAAAUCUUUCACUCCUUCAAGAUUAGAUGUUGCGCCUUUUAUAUAGCAAAAUGUGUGUUUAACAACACUAAGAUGAGUUUCUCUAGGAUCUGACUGAAAUCUUGCACAAAGACAAACAUUGAACAUAAUAUCAGGUCUAGACGAUGUGAGAUACAAAAGUGAACCUAUCAUUUGACGAUAAAGAGUAUUGUCCACUUUUGUUGAGCUUUCAUCUAGCCCUAGGCUAGUUGUUGGAUGAAUUGGAGUCUUCAUUUUGCAUCAUCCAUUUUAAACUUUAUGAGCAACUCCUUGAUAUACUUCGUUUGAUGUAUGUAGAUUGCAUCGUCGUCUUGCUUGAUUUAUAGUCCGAGAAAGAAUUUUAGCUCAACCAUUGUGCUCAUCUCAAAUUUUUCUUGCAUCAUUGUCGAGAUGUAUUGGCUUAACUUUUCAUCAGUAGCACCAAAGAUAAUGUCAUUAAUAUAUAUUCGAAUGACUAUGAAGUUUUGAUUGACAUUUGUCCUGAAGAGAGUGGUGUUUACUUGACCUCUCGUGAAACCAUUCCUUUUAAGGAAGAGACUUAACUUUUCAUACCAAGCUCUGGGAGCUUGCUUUAGUCCAUGUAAGGCUUUGUUAAGUCUGAAGGCGUGUGUGGGAUUAGUUUUGCAUUCAAACCCUGGAUGUUGUUCCACGUACAGUUCUUUCUUAAUAUCGUCGUUUAGGAAUACACUCUUGACGUCCAUUUGAUAUGUCUUGAUUUUGUUGAACGCCGCGAAUGAUAAGAAAAUGUUAAUGACUUCUAUCCUUACUACAAGAGCAUAGGUUUCUGUGUAAUCAAUUCUUUCUCAUUGAGAGUAGCCUUUCAUAACUAGUCUAGCUUUGUUCUUGAUGAUAUGUUCAUCCAACUUGUUACGAUAGACCCAUUUAGCUCCAACUAUAUGUUUUCCAUGGGAUAGCUCAACGAGUUCCUAUACUUCAUUUUUAUUGAAUUAAUCGAGUUUUUCUUUCAUAGCUUCACUCCAAGAGUUGUCUUCAAGAGCCUGAUUGAUGUUUGAUGGCUCGAAUUGGGAGAUGAGAGCAAUGGUUAAUGGAUUGUGAUAUGAUUUUUUCUUUACGCGUUCACUAAGAAUUCUGAUGAUUUUCUCAGAGGGAUGAUCCUUAGUGAUCAGGUGAUGUAAGCUUUUUGGUUCCUUUCUUUCUUCACUAGUAUCAUUGAGUGACUCUUCAAGUUGAUUCUUGACUUCAUGGUUGGGAUCUUCUGAUGCAUUCCCUUCCUUGGAGAAGGAGUCAUCUAGCUUUGACUUACUUUUUUUCAGGCUCAUGGUUAAAUUUCACAUGGAUGGCUUCUUCAACCUUCAAGGUUCUAGAGUUAAAUAUGCACUUGAGGUUUUUGAGUAAUCAAGCAUUCCUUCAUGGCUACGAGAAUCAAAUUUACCAAGGAUAUCCUUAGUAUUAAGAAUAAAACAUUGAAAACCAAAAGGAUGAAAAUAUGAAAUAUUUGGCGUUUUGUCCUUCCAAAGCUUGUUGAGAUUGUUGACAACACAAUUUUUAUAUCAAUCUAGUUUUUGAUGAUGACAACACAUUGCUUAAUAACAUGCAUAUGUUGUUUGCUGUUAUUAUAUGUUCUUAUGCAUAUUAACUGUUAUAUCUAUUGAACAUGUUUGUGUACUGUGUUACAUGUUCCUAUGCUGAUUGAUUGAUAUAUAUCUAGAACGUGUUUAUGUGCUUUGCAUCAUUUAAUAUGUUUUACUGCACAUGUUUUAAAGCUGAAAACCACAAGCACUCUUACGAACUUUUAACUGUGUGACAAAGUUCUAGUACAGUCGGUUACAUUGUAAAUGGAUUCGAUUAUGCUAAAGUCUUUGUGCAGAUUUUAAGGAUCAGUGCUAUGUGUAUUUUGGAGAAGAAAAGAAUUUCAAAAUGUUUUAAAUGGUUGAUGCCGACUAUGUGGUUUACAUAUUCAACUAUAUCUGUUGUCUGAUUUGGAAUUAUGUUAUGCUCUUGUACUCUAACGGCUAUAUUUAUAAAAGUUAGUUGAGCAUUGAUGACUUGAUCAACUGUAUUGAAUGUGUUCUGUUAUUUGUUGACUGUGUGCUACUAAGUUGACUGAACUUUUAUAACUGUUAUAAUACAGCGACUGAAUUAGUAGCAUAUUCGACUGAGAAUCUGACUGUAUAACAGAAAUCUUUAAAUAGACUGAACAGAGGUUUGUUCAAAGACUUUUGAUGAACUGAAAAAUUUCAUUUCUGUUUCAGAUUUCUUUUAGCUCCAAGAAUUCUCCAAGAAUACGGUGGUUAUCUUUCUUGAACGAGAUUCAUUGAGGAGACAUUGUGCGCUUACACUUGUUGAUCAUUACCUGCACAAGAAAAGUGCUUAUGUUUGAUCGUAUUGAAGGCUUGGCAUCCUGUGAAGACUGCUGAAUUGUGAUGAAGGCUUAGCAUCCUAUGAAGACUGCUGGAAUUAUACCUAUUGUGAUACAGGAGGAUAGUUCACUUUGAGGAUUGUUCAAAGUGGUGUUGCAGAUUGCAGAAGAGGGGAUUCUUGUUGCAAUUUUGGUUUUGUUCUGCAGCUAUAUUUUGGUUUUGGGUUAGAGAGGAGAUUUAUAUUUUUGACGUGGAGGUCUUCUAUAAGUUCCUUGUUGUAAAAACCACAACCAUUAUAGUGCAUUUGCUUCCGGGUGGAAGGACACUAGAUGUAGGCAUUGUUGGCCGAACCAGUAUAAAAAUCUGUGUUUGAAUUUCUCUAUCCCUUAUCUUCUACAUUCCAGUCGACUCUAUUUCUAACGCAGUCUACUACGUGUUUUCCACUGCAUACAUUUUUUGAUUGCUUGCAUUUCAAGAAAGUUUAAAAAGCUUUAUACUUUGUUUUCAAGAUUGCGAAAAGAACAUAUUUUUGAAACAUCACCAAUUCACCCCCCCCCAUCUCUUGGUGUAUAAAGAAGCCUACCUGUUUUCCAACAAAGCUCAUAGGGUGUUUUUAUUGAGGAUUAACCUGAUGUAAACUCUAUUUUGAAUGUAGCAGACAGUGUUAACUGCUUUUGCUUAUAAGUGUUUAGAAGUAUUAAAAACAUUUAACAUAGUUCUGGCCUUUUCUUGCAAAGAUUUGUUUUUCCUCUAAAUAACUCCAUUUUGUUGUAGAGUUCUUGGAGUUGAGAAAUUAUGUUUGAUGCUAGAGUUUUUGGAAAACUUUUUGAAAAGGUCAUUUUCAAAUUCUCCUCCAUGAGAACUUCGAAUAGACAUAAUUUUCUAUCCUUUUACAAAGUUUGCAAAAGACAUUAAAAGUCUCAUCCUUAUGAGUUAUAAAUAGAACCUAAUUCCACUUAGAAAAAUCAUCUACAACUACUAAUCAAUAGUGUUUACCACUCAUAGAUUAAGUUGUUGACGGUCCAAAGAAAUAUAUAUGAAGCAGCUCUAGAGGUCGUAUAGUCGAAACCAUAUUUUUACUUUUGAAAGAUUCUUUGACCUGUUUUCCCUUCAUAGUUAUUAUGCCACGUCAGUGCCUCGUCUUUCAUAGAAACUAGACAUCAGACACUUUGAUAGUGCAAUUUAUUUUUAUACAAGUUACCAUGCCUAUUAACAAUAUAUACUAAAGAGUUAUUACCAUCUAAUACUCUACAUUGGCCUUUUUCAAAAACAACAUUACAUCCUUUUUCACACAAUUGACUUAUGUUAAACAAAUUAUGUUUAAGGCCAUCUACUAACGAAACAUUAUUAAUGGAAGGGGAAAUGUUUGUACUUAUCUUUCCAAUUCCUAUGAUUUUUCCUUUUUGGUUUCCUCCAAAUGUGACUAAACCUCCUUUCUUGUCCCUUAGGAAAAUACACUUUUCUCCCGUCAUGUAACGUGAGCAGCCACUAUCUAGGUACCAGGAUAGGACUUUCUUUCCAGUCAUCAAACACAUCUGCAAGAGGAAUUAUUUUACUCUUAGGUACCCAUAACCAGUUGGGUCUUGACUUGUUAAACAUAUGCAUUUUCUUUUUUUCAGAAGUCAAUACAUCACUACUUGACCUAGUAAAACUAAUAGGGUUAGAUUUAUUUUCAUGUUUUGUAUUGGGUUUCCUAUAACCUAGACCUUAUUUGUUAGAUGAAUUCCUACUUUCUCUCAACAAAUGAUCUAACCUAUCAUUUCCCUCAAGUGUUCUACUUAAAUUUUUUGUAAGGGUAUCGUUUUCAUGCAUGAGGGAUUCUAUGACUUUAAAAUCCUUAUCUACUAUUGCAUUAUCUACAAGUUUCUUAAUUUGUGUACUAGUUUCUUCCUUUUCUCUUUCUGUGACACUUAACUUUAACCUAAGACUACUGACUUUUUGUUGAAGUGUGUUAAUAUUGUUCUUCGACAUAUCUAGUUUAUCUUUUAGGUUGUUUCUAUGUGUAAGAAGUUUUGUACGUUGAUUACAUAAACUUUUAUAUGUACAAGAAGGUUUAGACAAAUACGAUAGUAGUUCAUAAUAUGCAUUUCUUACCAAGUGUAGAUCAGAAAAUUUUACCUCGUCAUCAGAGUCAUCUGAUGUACUCUUAGCGUUUCCUACAAACAAGCAUACUUUGGAGUCUACGUCUUUGCCAAAUGUGUCCAAGUCUUCCUAAGUGCUUAUUAGCAUCUUUUUCUUUUCGUAUAUGGGCCCGACUGACUUUUCCUUCAUAUUUUCAAGCUUGGGACAUUCUGUUAUGAAAUGUCCAGGUUUGUUGCACUCGUAACAAACCGUUGUAUCUUUUGGUCAUUUGUCUCUUGUAAUGUUCUUGGAACCAGAUUCAAGACGCAUGGUUUUGAACAUUGUGCCUUUCCUUUUCGUCCAUAAUGUUUGGAGCUUUCUUCUGAUGAAUGAAAGCUCAUCUUCGUCGUUCUCAUCCAUGGAGGCAUCGCUUGACUCCUCGGAGGAUUCAUCUAUUUUGAGAGCCUUGGUGGGUGUCUUCUUGAAGCUUCGAGCGCGAUGCUUUUCUCCUUCUUGAUGGAGCCAUCCAAAAGGAUAUCGAGCUCAUGAACUUUAAGUAUCCCUACAAGCUCUUCUAGACCCAUUCCAUCUGAGUUCUUUGACGUACGCAAAGUUGUGACUUAAGGUCUCCAUUGGUUGGGAAGACUAUGUAGGAUUUUGUCAAUAUGAUCGAAGUUGUCAUAUGACUUUCCCAAGGAUUUCAGCUCAUUUAGGAUCGUUUGGAAUCUACUGAACAUACUCUAAAAUGUUUUCAUUUUCAAGCAUAGUAAAUAGUUCAUAUUGUGUUGAAAAUAGAAUGGUUUAGUUUCAAUACCUAGAGGGGGGUGAAUUGGUGAAACACAAAAAUCAAAGUCUUUUUAAAAUCUUUUCCAUAAAAGGAUGAUCUUUCAAAAGUUUCUUGAAUCGCAAGAAAUAAGAUUUUUCAAGUGCAGUUGAAAUAAUUGACUACGUGAAAAGUAAAGUCGACUUUGAAAAUAAAAAGUGCAAGAAUAGAGAAUUCAAAUGCAGGUUUUUAUACUGGUUCGACCAAACUGCCUACAUCCAGUGUCCUUCCAAUCACAGGAAGCAAAUGCACUAUAAUGAUCAGGGUUUUUACAACAAGGUUUCUAUAGUGACAUCCACGUCAAAAUAUAAAACACCUCACUAACCCUCUAACCAAAAUAUAGGCAUAUACAAACAAAGAACAACAACAAGAUGUCCCCUCUCGUACAAUGUUUAAUCACUCUUAAAAAUCCUCAAUGUCCACAACGUCGCAUGUUCUCUUCCUGUAGUCAUAGUAGGGCAGCCACAAUCUUCAAUUGUUAUUGCAGAAGCAAUUAUAUUACGUGCUUUAAAAUCAUAUUGUCCCCUACGGUUUUCUUCUUGAGACCACUCAGAAAAAUUUUUCAAAACAAUUUUUCCAUUAAUAAAAUGAGUUGGCUCAAAAAGACCGUUCACAGUUGCAUCACAAACACCUCUAUCCAUUAAUUCAAGAAAAAAUUGCAUUCGGAUUUUCCAAAAAGCAUAAUUUUCACCAGCAAACAGUGGUGGUCUGUUUGUUUAUGCACCUUCACUGAAGGUUUGAAAACUAGAAGCCAUUUUCCAGGAAUAGUCGAUUUAAAGAAAAAGAUAAUCGACUUGUUUUUCAAAUAUUUUACGAAAAUCAGCUCUGGUGCCAACUGUUGAAAAUAGAAUGGCUUCGUUUCAAUACCAAAAUGGGGUGAAUUAGUGAAACACAAAAAUCAAAGCCUAUUUAAAAUAUUUUCCGUAAAAGGAUGAUGUUUCAAAAGUUUCUUGAAUCGCAAGGAAUAAGAUUUUUCAAGUGUAAGGGAAAUAGUUGACUACGUGAAAAGAAAAGUCGACUUUGAAAAUAAAAAAUGCAGGGAGAGAAUUCAAACGCAGGUUUUUAUACUCGUUUGGCCAAACUGCCUAAUCCAGAGUCCUUCCAAUCACCAGAAGCAAAUGCACUAUAAUGAUCAGGGUUUCUACAACAAGGCUUUUUAGCGACCUCCACGUCAAAAUAUAAAACACCUCUCUAACCCUCUAACCAAAAUAUAGGCAUAUACAAACAAAGAACAACAGCAAGAUGUCCCCUCUCUUGCAGUCUUUAAUCACUUUGAAGAAUCCUCAAAGUCCAGAACACUGCACGUUCUCUUCUUGUAGUCACAACAGGGAAACCACAAUCUUCAUUAGAUUUGUUGGAAAACAGAUAGGCUUCGUUUCAACACCAAGAGGGGGGGGGUGAAUUGGUGUGGUUUCAAAAUCAGAGUCUUUUUAAAAUCUUUUUCGCAAAGUAUUAUCCUUUUCAAAUUUUCUUGAAUCACAAGGAAUGAAAAAUGUAAGUGCAACGAAAAAUACAAAGUAGACUACGAAUGCAGUAAAGUCGACUGAAUCUAAAAGUUUAAGAAUAGAGAAUUCAAACGCAGGUUUUUAUACUGGUUUGACCUCAAUGCCUACAAUCCGAAAGCAAAUGCACUAUAAUGGUCAAGGUUUUGACAACAAGGAUUUUAUAGAGAUCUCCACGUCAAAAAUAUAAAACACCUCUCUAACCCUUUAACCAAAAUAUAGGCAAUACACACAACAAAGAUCUGCAGCAAGAUAUUCCCUCUUCUGCAAUCUUCAACCCACUUUGAACAAUCCUCAAAGUGUCCAGACUCAACGAGUCAACCUCCUGCAAUUCCAACAGGAUAACAACCACAAUCUUUACAAAGAUUGAGAGAAAUCUUGAUCAGCAAACGCAAACCACAAGGUGCAGAGUAUGAUCAACCAAUAAGCACAAAAACCUUUAUCCUUCAAAGAUAGAUCACCGCGGUCUUCUUGAUAAGUUCUUGGAGCAAAUUCUCAGAGAUCAAAAUCUAUAAAUCAAAAAUGAAAGUGUUAAAAUUACCAAAGUCUUUGUGAUCAACUUAGGUACGUCUAUUUAUAGUUUUCUAUAAAUCAGACACUCCUGUAGUUGACUAAGCUACUAAUACAGUCGACUGUCCUUAGACAGUUAUAACAGUUAAGUCAAACAGUAGCAGUCAACAACAACCAAAUUGAUUUUGCAUUUAAUACAGUUGACUAUAAUAAAAGCUUUAACUAACUUUUGAAAAUAUAGUCGUUACUGUUCACACAUAUUAAUAGAAUUUCAAACACACAACUAACUAAGUCGGAUCCACUGCGCAUGUAGUCAACUUAAGCAUGUCAGCACAGUUUGUAAAACUUUUCAAUGCAAAAUCACUCACAACACUAUUUUGAAAGUCUGUGCAUAGUCACGAGUCUUAAUCGACUUACUUCAUAAUGAAGUCGACUUUAAACUUACAAUUAUAACACAUAAUAUAAGUUCAUAAAAUUGCAUGUGGUUUUCUCAUCAAAAACAUAUGUAAUGCAAUCACAGAUGAUAUAUCAGAAAUAAGCUUAGUGAGUAUGCAUUCAUAUGUCAAAAUCAACACAAACAUGUUCAAUAAGAUAUCAAUCAAUAAGAAAUAGAAAAUGUAACACAUAACAAAACAUGUGUUAUUAAUAAUGUGUUGUCAUCAUCAAAAACCAGAGUGAUUAAAGUACUCUAAGAUUAAGGUUAGGUAAACCAGUGCUUCCCUUAUCAACAAUCUCAACAAUCUCCCUUUUUUUUUUAUGAUGCACAACCAUGAUUAAUAAACAACCAUGUUUGUACACAAGCAGCUCAUAAAAUCAGUAUCAGAUCAAGCAAGUAAAAUAACUGAUUUUAUCCAAUUUGUUUAAUCAAAGUAUCAGAGCAAGUAAAAUUAUAUUUCUCCCCAAUUAAUCUGAAUAAAACAGAUCAAGCAAACAAUCACAUAUCAAGCAAGAUAAGCAUAGGCAAAUUAAUCAAUCUUUCACAAUAUUUCUCCCCCUUUGUGCAUUAGCAAAAAAGGUGUGCUUUCAGAUAUGGAUAUGCUGAUAUCAAAAGAAAUAGAGAUGCAUAAGUAAAAGUAAGCAGUUUAAACAUGCAGUGAUGCUCCCCCUAUCACAGAUAUUCACAUUGGAUAGAUAAGCUCCCCCUAGAAUGUAGGCAUGUGAAACAUCUAUGCAAACAAAUAAUGCUCCCCUUGCCAUUAUGCAUAUAACAAAAUCAGAUAUAUAUGCACAAUGCAGAUUCACAGAUAUAAGAGCAUACUAUCAAUUCGCAUCAAGAUUGUAUUAGUGGUAUGAUUUCAUAAUUCAAUCAAGCAAAGAUACAACUAUCAACAAUCUCACAAUAUAGUCUCAUUGCAAAAAAGUCAUAUCAGAAUAGAGAUAUAUUGAAGAAGACUGAUAUAUAGAAAGAUAAAGAAAUUGAUAACCAAAUUCCAAUAACUGGAAUUUAUAACCUCUGUAUUUGAUAAGUCGAUUUGACCAAUAACCAAGUCGAUUUUCAUUGCUUUCCAGACAGAUAUGAUUCUAAUAAGUGUUUCCAAGCAAUGUUUCCUACAAAAUCCUUUCAGAGUCUUUUGAAGACCAAGAAAUUUAGUAUUAUAGUAAUGCAAGAAAUUCAACAUGUAAGAAGGGAGUAUGCAAAGCAGUCAAUGUAGCAGUGUAAGACAUGCAUAGUCAACUUCAAUCAAUUUAAAGUCCAUUUCUCAUUCAAACAAGGCAUAUUCAAUCAAUCAAUUUAAAGCAAAUGAGUCUUACAAAUAACUGAUUUCAUUGAUAUUAUGAAAACAUUACAAAAUGAUAGAUCCGACAAACCUAAUCAAAACAAAAUGGCAGUAUAAGCCAUUGAUAAAAAAAACACACACAUAAACUCAAUUUUUCUUUCGUUUCAAGUUAACAAAAUCAUUAAGAAUCAUGUCACUAUCACUCUUAUCAAUACUUCUUUCAUCAACACUCUCUUUUUCGGUCUCUCUGUCUCUUUGUUCUUCAAGUAAUUUUCUUAGAGCUUUUAAUUCCCUUAGUACAAUCCUUUCAAACUCGUUUCUUGCCCUGUAUAGACUACCUUGAGGAGAUACAGUUUCAUCAUCAUUGUUUGUAGCAUCAUUCUUGUAUAUCCAACCCUCAGGAGUUUUCACCAUUUGCAUCAAGUGUAGUGCAAACUUGUCAAUAAAACUGGUUCUGUAAUAAGGUUUGCUUGAUUCACUUAUACAGUCCACACCAAAAUGAAUAAGAAUUUUAGAGAUGAAAACACAAUAGGGCAGCUUGGCGGACUCUAAUCUUGUAACCUCUAACAUGUUAUCUGAGAUUGCAGCAGGCCAGUCCACCUGAAUGUUUUCCUUUAGUGCCUUCAGCAAGAACAGAUCCUCUGUAGUUGCUUGUGCAUGAUUUCCUCCUCUUGGCAUCAGUAUCCAAGAAAUAACGAAGAUAGCAAGUCUAUCAUCCUUCUUCAUUCCCCUGGUUCUUUAGUUGGUGUAAUCAUUGGACUCUUCAGGAUUCCUUAGAGAGUUUUGAUAUUCUGUGAACUUGUGAAAACCUUCAAUCCCCAGGUGACACUUUUCACCACCAAGUUUUAAACCAGCAAGUUUUGUCCAGACAUCAUCUGUGAGCUUGAUGUCAACCCCCUUCACUCUUGAGCAAAGAGUGUCAUCCACAAUUUUCAAGUUACAAUAGAAUACCUUUACAAGGUCCGGGUACCACGGGUCAGCCAUUUCGAGAAACUUUUUCAAACCUUGGUGUCUAAGCCAUCUCUGAAAUUCAAAUCCUUCGUCUUUGAAGAAUUUCAACCUCAAGUAUUUGUGAGGUACAAGACUCCUCAUUUUCCAACAGUCAAGGUAUUUUGACUGGGCAUCAUCAUCGUUAAUCAAUCCUUCCAAUUCAAAAACCCUUCUAGUGCUCUUCUGAGCCACUGUUUUCACACGCUUCUUUUGCGCAGAGCCUGUUGCCAUUGCCUUGAACAACGAGAAAUAUGGACCAAAGAGAGUUACAGUGAAAGUGAUGAAUUAGGUAGUACAAACGAGCUUAGCUUAAUGAAGAUUUCAUAUUAGGUUUUUAUAUAUACCACAACUAGACAAUUUUGGAGGGAAAUAUUUUCAUCAAAAUUUAGCGCAAAGCAAGACAUGUUAAAGAAAAUUUGAAUUUCAAUAGCACAGUGAUCAUGUAGUCGAUUUUAAUAAAAACAAAGUUGACAUCACUGUAACAACAGUUUUCAGAAACAGAGUGCACACAUUCGACUAAGUCUAUAAUCAAGUCGACUAAAAGUCGCGAAACACAUUUUCCAACCAAAACAAUCAAACAAUCAAUCAUGCAAUCAACAAACAAUCAAUCAUUAAGGAAUCAAUUUAUUUAUGCAUGAUGUAGUAAGGUGAUACGUGUUACCAGUUGUAGAUACCCAAGAUAGUUCAAUUGCUUUUUGGUCGCCAAAAAGUCAACAAACCCUUGUCCCCACUAAUGUAGUAUAUGGCAACCAAGGAAUCAAUUUGCAGACUCAGCUAAUUAAGAUUAAAGUGUAUGAUUAAGGUCUUGUAUUUAUUUACUAAUUAUUUACUUACUAACUACUAAACAGGUGGGGACAUUUGAAAUCAAUAAAACUAAAAUAAAAGAAUUGAAACUAGUCUAAACUAACAUCUAUUUAGAAGAAUAAACAAUUUUAAAUGUAAUGAAAGAAAAGAAAAUAACAGUCAAAAAACAGCAACAAAAUCUACUUACUACAACUUCGUACCAUCUACACAAAAAUCAAAUGCUAAAAUGAAUAAGGAAAAAAAAAAUCUUUGAAACAUAAAUGAAUAACAGAAGUAGAACCUAAGUCUAAAAGAAUGCAUUAACAAUCAAGAUAUAUUCCUAAACUAAGCAUCAAAUUUGAAUUAAAUUGUAAAACAUAAAACCUAAAAUGAAUCAUCAAGUCCUACUCUAAACAGAAGUAACUAAUAACAAACAUGCCAAUAUUAUCAAAUAAAACUGAAAUCAACGAUCAAACACCUAAACUAAUAAGUAGAAACAGAUUGAUUGAUAAGAAUCAUGAAUCAGAAUAUAAAGUGCCAAAUUUAGUGUUGAGAAGCAGUCAUUUACCACUCAAGAAGACAUCCUGGGCAGUCUGAUAAUGGUCUAAAAAUCGUUAUUUUCAUACUUAAAUUUGAUAUUAAAACACACCCUUUAUGGCUUAGAAUGAGCUUAAAAUCAAGUAAAACACUUAGUUGAGUCAUUAGAGAGUUAAAAGUUGGUUUUAGAGAUAUAUUAUGCUUGUUUUUACAUUGUUUUGCAGGGUUUUGAUGAGAAUAGAAGAAGGAAGUAAAUCAGGGUGGACUUAGACUCGUGAAAGAUGAAGAAAAAGGAUGAAAAGAAGAGUCAAAAGAACCGCUGAGCGUCAGAAUGGAACGCUGAGCAUUCAGGACGAUUAGGGGCAAAUCGCUCCGCGGUAAAAUUGACCGUUGAACGGUCCAACGACUAAAGGGGAAACCGCUGAGCGGUUUACUUAGGCGUCUAGGCGGUUGUCUGUUUUUAUUAGCUCAGAUUUUGUAAUCUUUCUGUUAUCUUUUUGGCUUAUAUAUAGCCCCAGUGCGAAUCAAAACUCAAUCUUUUGGCAGAGAGAAACGUCCAAAGCUAUUCCACACACCUUGGAGGAGGUUCCUUGGAUGCUUAGGCUCCAAUCUACCAAGUUUAGGGUUAUUUCUUCCAUUCUUUCAUUAUAUCUCAUCUAGAUUCACCAUGUUUAUGGUGAACUAAACCCUAGGUUGUUGGGGAACAAUGUAAUCUUUUGAAACUCUCUUAUAUGAAAAUUCUUAUCUUCUUUAUAUGCUUGCAUAUGCUUAUCUUUAUCAAUUGUUGGGUUCCUUACGUUUGCUUAAUGCUUUUAUCAUUUAACUUAUUCGGUAAAUGUUGUUUGUCUUUAUUGAUACGGGAACGUACAAUAAUGUCAUGAACUGGGGGGAAUUCCUUGAUUAUGCUAAUACCGCCUAGGAAUAGGGGUAGGACGAUCAAUUGUAUUUUGCUUCUGUUUAUCGUGCAUUAUUAAUUACUAGGGGAGGCUAGGGAUAGCAAGUCGGUAAUUAGUAAUAGGCUCUUUUCGCCAAGGAAUUGGGUUAAGGGUAGACCAAGAAAGUUUGCAUGACAAUAUGAUAAAUGAGCAAAUUAGAUAAGAAAAGUAUAUAUAAGAGGGUGGAUAAGAUGAAAUUAUAAACCCCAACAACUCCAUUCAUUGAUAGUUUCUUUAGCCAAUUGAUUCAUUGCAUUUGCAUGUUUACUUCUGUCUUGCAUUCAAAACUCAAAAUUAAUUUCUUCUCAAGUCUUAUGCGAUUGGUUUACAUGAAAAGUAAGGCCUAAGAGUCCUUUGGGAAACAAUACUUGGACUUACCCAUUUUAUAUUACUUGAUAACGAUCUAGUACACUUGCCAGAGACUUAACAUAGUCAUACCCACUGUGUGGUAUUUAAGUUCUAAAUCAGAACCUAGAUUGGGUAAAUGUCCACUUACUAUACCAAAUCACCACAAGUUCAAUUCCUAAUUCAUGUUUCUAAUCAUCAGCAGAUGUAAAACUUAAUCUAAAUUCAAUUUAAACAUGUAAUAUACUCUAAAACAUACAAAACUCUAAUCACAAUGAAAUAACAAAAACGAAAUACUAAUUACAGUGUUUUUCUUUCAUUAAACUCAUCUCCAAACUCGAGAAGACAUCUCGGUAAGUUAUGCUCACUGUGGAGUCAUAUAAUUCCCUAAGGAAUUUCAACUAUGUGGAGUCAGAGAGUCUAAAUUAGAUUUUUCAAGAAUUAACAAAAGCUAGAAACAAUAUUUUUGUCUCGUUGAACUCAACUCUGACUCGAGAAGACAUCUCGAUAAGUUAUGCUCAUUGUGGAGUCAUAUAAUUCCCUAAGUAAUUUCAAUGUGAAGAGUCACACAAGUUCAACUCGUUUUAAAUGAAGAACAAGAAACACAAUCACACAAGAACUCAAAAACAUUACACGAACAAAAUAGAACUCAAAAUUACACAACUCAAAACAGAGACAAUGAAAAACAAUUUUUAUUAACAAGAACCAAGAAUUAAAAUAGAAAGUACCGAACAAAGGCGCAAUUGGAGCCACCACGGGCUGUCACCACCGUGAGUGAUUCGCUCCAAAAGCAAGGAAAAUGAAAACCCUAACUAUCUAAAACUGUAGCGUAAACUGAAAAUUUUGUAAGUUCUUUACAUGGUAGAAGCCCCUUUAUAUAUGGUUACAGAAACUUGAACAAAGAAAGAAAAGAAAGAAAAAAUUAUAAAAGAGGAACCUUCUCUUUAACGCUUCCUACUCUUGAUCCAACGACCACUGUUCAUUUGCUUCGAGCUUGUGUUUCCAGCCAUUUGAUCCUCUAUAAUGAGCAACUCCGAGCAGCUUCUUCCUCAUCGGUCAUCUUCUCCAGCACGUGUGCAACAUCAGUGGAAUGGCACAAGCCCAUGCUUCAAGGGUGUUCUUUAUUUUUUCUCUCUCGCACAUGCCCUAGUGACGAAGGUUGAAAAACAGUUAUUUUCAUAUGUCAAUUUGGACCAAAUUACACCCUUUACUACUCGGAAUGAGCUUAGAAUCAAGCAAAANUCAAUAAAUGAGUNUGNAGAGANUCAAAAGUUGUUUUUAGCGAUUUUAUGCUUGUUUUGCAUUGUUUUNUAGCUAAUUUGAGAAAAGUAAAGAAUGGAGUUUAAGAUACAGGUCGUUGACUCAAGAAAAGAGCAGAAAAAUGAAGAUUUGAAGAGUCAACACACCGCCGGGUGGCACACUUAAAUCGUCGGGCGGUCCAGGGCGAGGAGUAGGCACCUGGCGUUGGCGCUGGGCGGAUUUGCGAUUUAAGGGAAACCGCCGGGCGGCAGACCCCUACCGCUGGGCGGCAUUGCGAUUUGUGGCAAACCGCCGGGCGGCACACUUAAACCGCUCGGCGGUGGCUCGUUGGACUUGGGCCUGUUUUCUGAUGCGCUCCUCACCUAUAUAUACCCCUAUUGCGAGUUCAGAAUCAUUCUUUUGACAGGGGAGAAUGGCCAGACCUAAUUUUUCUCUCUAGAGAGGAUCUCUUGGAUGUUUAGGCUCCUUUUCAUCUUUUCUAGGGUUUGCUUUUCCAUUCUUCUACCAUUUUUCAUCUUGUUUCAUCAUGUCUAUGGUGAACUAAACCCUAUUGUUGUUGGGGGAAACAAUGUAAUCUUUUGAUGCUCUCUUUUAUUGAAACUCUUGAUUAUUUAUAUGGUCUCCAUAUGUGUUGAUUGAUUAUUGUUGGGUUAUCAUCUGUGCUUAAGGCCUUUAUCGUUUAAUUCAUUCGGUAACUGAUGUUUGUCUUUAUUGAUAUGGGGACGUACAGUAAUGACAUGAACUGGUGAGUAAUUUCUUGAUUUUGCAAUACCACCUAGGGAUAGGGGUAGGACGACCAAUUGCGCUAACUUCUGUUUAUAAUGCGGUAUUAAUUACUAGGGGAGGCUAGGGAUAGCAAGCUAGUAGUUAAUAUUAGGCCCUUUUCGCCGAGGGAUCGGGUUAAGGGGAGGCUAAGAAAGUCGCAUAACAAUUGAAUCAAUCAAACUAAUAUUCAAGGGUAGUAUGUAAGAGAGAGCGGAAUAGAUGAAAUUGUAAACCCCCAACAACAUCCAUUCAUCCAUUGUUUUCGUUUGUCAAUUGAAUCAACUUUAUUUUUGCAUGUUAAUAUUUUUGUUCUCAAAUCCAAUUUAUUAAUUUUUAUUUUUCAAGUCUU
rnacentral:lncRNA from 1 species